rnacentral:lncRNA from 1 species
CUCACUUAACCUCCAUCCUAGGAACCUUUACACUUCGCGACACAGCGGAGCCAUGAGUGCAAUCCAGUCAAUCCUAAAAUCUGCAAGAGUCUCAACUACUAAAAUCCUAAAGCUUGAAGGAAAGGUAACCCCAAACAAGCCAAAGAUCGAAUACUAAGAACUUAGAAAUACACAAGUGGCCGAGUCCAAACUAAUUCCGAAGUUACAAAACGCAUCCUUAAACUACUGAAAGAAACAGACUCUUUCUUUAUUCAUUCACUAUGUCACAGACGGAAGAUCUAGACAUCGCGUCAAUACAGAAAUACGAAUUGAAGGGGAGUCCAGAG